GUCUCUUUGAGUUUUGUUAAUAGAGAGUUGGGCCUGCUCGGUGAAAUGAAAAUUUAACAGCNGCGGUAUUAUAACUGUACUAAGGUAGCAUAAUAAUUUGUCUUAUAAAUUGAGACUAGAAUGAAUGGUUUGACGAGAAUUAAGCUGUCUCUAUUUUAUUUGUUAGAAAUUAAUUUUUAUAGUGAAAAAGCUUGGAUGGUUUAAAGGGACGAGAAGACCCUAUUGAGCUUGUUUAUUAAUAAUUAAAUAUGAAUUAAAUAAAUUUGUUUAAAUUAAUUUUGGUUGGGGUGAUCAAGGAAUAAUAGAUAUAGUAACUUCCUUAAAAUUUUGUUAAUUUAUUGAUUAAUAAACCGAUUUUAUUGCUUAUAAGAUAAGUUACCAUAGGGGUAACAGCGUAAUUUUUUUUGAGAGUUCAUAUUGAAAAAAGAGAUUGCGACCUCGAAGUUGGAUUAAAAUUAACCUUAAGGUGUAGAGGCUUUGUUAGGUGAAUCUGUUCGAUUUUUAAAAUUUUAC
rnacentral:rRNA from 1 species